rnacentral:rRNA from 1 species
UACGUAGGGUGCGAGCGUUGUUCGGAAUUACUGGGCGUAAAGCGUGCGUAGGUGGUUCGUUAAGUCUGAUGUGAAAGCCCUGGGCUCAACCUGGGAAUGGCAUUGGAAACUGGCGACCUAGAGUGCGGUAGAGGGCAGUGGAAUUCCCCGGUGUAGCAGUGAAAUGCGUAGAGAUCGGGAGGAACAUCUGUGGCGAAGGCGACUGCCUGGACCAGCACUGACACUGAGGCACGAAAGCGUGGGGAGCAAACAGG